rnacentral:misc_RNA from 1 species
UUUCCGUAGGUGAACCUGCGGAGGGAUCAUUACAGAGUUCAUGCCCUACCGGGUAGAUCUCCCACCCUAUGUUAUUAUUACUUUGUUGCUUUGGCGGGCCGUUAGGCUCCGGCCCGACUACCGGCCCCGGCUGGUAAGCGCCCGCCAGAGGACCCAAAACCCUGAAUAUUAGUGUCGUCUGAGUACUAUAUAAUAGUUACAACUUUCAACAACGGAUCUCUUGGUUCUG